GCUUACACAUGCAAGUCGAGCGGUAACAUUUCUAGCUUGCUAGAAGAUGACGAGCGGCGGACGGGUGAGUAACGCGUAGGAAUCUGCCUAGUAGUGGGGGACAACAUGUGGAAACGCAUGCUAAUACCGCAUACGCCCUAUGGGGGAAAGGAGGGGAUCUUCGGACCUUUCGCUAUUAGAUGAGCCUGCGUGAGAUUAGCUAGUUGGUGGGGUAAAGGCCUACCAAGGCGACGAUCUCUAGCUGGUCUGAGAGGAUGAUCAGCCACACUGGGACUGAGACACGGCCCAGACUCCUACGGGAGGCAGCAGUGGGGAAUAUUGGACAAUGGGCGCAAGCCUGAUCCAGCCAUGCCGCGUGUGUGAAGAAGGCCUUAGGGUUGUAAAGCACUUUCAGGAGUGAGGAAGGGCGUAUAGUUAAUACCUGUAUGUUUUGACGUUAACUCCAGAAGAAGCACCGGCUAACUCUGUGCCAGCAGCCGCGGUAAUACAGAGGGUGCGAGCGUUAAUCGGAAUUACUGGGCGUAAAGCGCGCGUA
rnacentral:rRNA from 1 species